rnacentral:rRNA from 1 species
CCUACCAUGGUGGUAACGGGUAACGGGGUGUUAGGGCACGACACCGGAGAGGGAGCCUGAGAAACGGCUACCACAUCCAAGGAAGGCAGCAGGCGCGCAAAUUACCCAAUCCCGACACGGGGAGGUAGUGACAAUAAAUAACAAUACAGGGUCCUUUCGGGUCUUGUAAUUGGAAUGAGUACAAUUUAAAUCUCUUAACGAGGAACAAUUGGAGGGCAAGUCUGGUGCCAGCAGCCGCGGUAAUUCCAGCUCCAAUAGCGUAUAUUAAAGUUGUUGCAGUUAAAAAGCUCGUAGUUGAAUUUCGGGAUCAAUACGUCGGUCGUGCCUCGGUACGUACUAACGAUAUUGAUUUCUCCCUUCUGACGAACCGUGAUGUCAUUAAUUUGGUGUUACGGGGAGUUAGGACUGUUACUUUGAAAAAAUUAGAGUGUUUAAAGCAGGCAAUCGCUCGAAUACAUUAGCAUGGAAUAAUGAAAUAGGACGUUCGAACCUAUUUUGUUGGUUUCUAGGAUCGACGUAAUGAUUAAUAGGGAUAGUUGGGGGCAUUAGUAUUCAAUUGUCAGAGGUGAAAUUCUUGGAUUUAUUGAAGACUAACUACUGCGAAAGCAUUUGCCAAGGAUGUUUUCAUUAAUCAAGAACGAAAGUUAGGGGAUCGAAGACGAUCAGAUACCGUCGUAGUCUUAACCAUAAACUAUGCCGACUAGGGAUCGGAUGAUGUUAAUUUUUUAAUGACUCAUUC